rnacentral:rRNA from 1 species
CAGCCGCCACGGUAAUACAGAGGAUGCAAGCGUUAUCCGGAAUGAUUGGGCGUAAAGCGUCUGUAGGUGGCUUUUCAAGUCCGCCGUCAAAUCCCAGAGCUCAACCCUGGACAGGCGGUGGAAACUACCAAGCUGGAGUACGGUAGGGGCAGAGGGAAUUUCCAGUGGAGCGGUGAAAUGCGUUGAGAUCGAAAAGAACACCAACAGCGAAAGCACUCUGCUGGGACGACACUGACACUAAGAGACGAAAGCUAGGGGAGCAAAUGGGAUUAGAUACCCGCGUAGUCCCUGUCUCUUAUAC